GAAACAAAAGAGAACAAAUCAUACACAACAUUCUGACUAUUCCAGUAAUUCCAGUGAAAACAAACCUUAAUGCCACACACACAAUGACAUUCUAGAGAACUUGUCGUUCCAACUGCGAAUGAAUCACACAAUGUAACUGGAUCUUCUCCAAAUUGGCUCAGAAAUAUCCAGAGGUAUUUCCUUCGUAUGCUGUUACCCACGCUAUUUCGCAGAGACUUAAAGAUAAAAGCUUUGAUAAGUCAGAAGGUGAGUGGAAAUUUUAUUGGAAUAAAACGUUCCUCUCUAAUUCAGAUUUUGGUGAAAUGACGUGUUCAAACUCUGAUGGUUUAGACAUCGCCAUCAAGAAACGAGAUUAACAUUUUAUGGAGCUUGAUAAAUUGUCUCUGUCACGCGAGCAACUUAUUUUUGAACAGAGGAAAGAUGAGAAAAUGUAAUCCCUCUUUGAAGCUGUUGUUCCUGUUGUGCAACUUGAGUGUGUAUCGCAAGGAUACUUUGUUGAAGAUGGUGUGCUGGUGGGGAAGUGGAGACCAUCAAAUGCUGCUGCUGAUGAAUGGCAGAUUGUUAAACAGGCUCUAGAUCAGCUACACAUCCAACACUGCAUGUCAAGUUGUUACCAUCCAGAAAGCGCAUUUUGUCUGGAGUUCAAGAAAGACUGGGAUGAAGGAGUGCCUAUGGUCAUGUUUGCAGUGAGGGAAGUAGUACAGGAAUUGUUAGGUUUCAGUCCGGCCGAGUUAGUGUUCGGUCAUACUGUUAUUGGCCCAGUAAAGCUGAUUAAAAUGUUCUUGAAUAUGUUUCAGAGUUCCGUUUGAAACUGCACCGUGCAUGUAUGUUAGCCAAAGAAAAUUUGAAGAUGUCACAACACCGAAUGAAAACACGUUUUGAUCGUUAUGCUAUUUUCUCCUGGUGAUAAAGUGCUGUUGCCAGUACCUGGAUCUGCACUGCAGGCUCGUUAUCAUGGUCCUUACCAGGUGAAUGAGAAGAUAAGUUCUGUGAACGGCUAAAACCAAGGUCAACAUGAAAGGGAAGUUCCCCCUUUGACUGCAGAGAACUUUGUUUUCUUUUAGUUAACGACCACAUCACCAUCUUGUGCGACGCUCUGAAGUUAAUGUUUGCUUCUUACUACUGCUUGAACAUUUCAUACCCAGGAAACCAAGAAGAAAUGCAAGAGAUUGUGCAAAGAUUCCUUUUUAAGAUGAACCCCGAGAAGGGAUCGAAAGUGGAGAAGACCACAUCGAGAAAGAAAUCAGCAGUCAGUCCAAAGGUUCUUUCAUUGAUUAACAAGAUUGCGGACUAUGAAAGGAUGGAGUAAAUCUAGGAAGAUCUGAGUGUCAGAUCUUCUUACAUUGCCCAGCAGAAAUUCUUGACAGUGUCAUAGACUUAAAAUACUUGCUAAAAUACUUUCAUGCAUCAUCUGUUGUCGAGAUGAAUUAAUAUAUUCAAAGGUGGUUCAGUUUUAAGAACAAUUUAAUUAUUAUUUUUUUAUUUGUUUACCAAGCUGCGAUAUUGUUGCAGUUUUGAAAAAUUAUUUUGUUUUCUAAUUUAAGAGAAAGUAUACUCUGCCAUCUUGCUAAGACGAAAGUGACUUGAACGCACAUGCCGUCGUAAGCACGACUUCCCACCUCGUGUGUACGAACUUCACAGGAGGACUUGAACGCACCAUUCGUCAUUCUGUUCAAAUGCUAUUGACGUUAGAGAAGUGUAUAGUAGUUUAGUAUGUAACUUUAGAGACGGUGCCUAGAUUUGCGAAUAUCGAAUGUCCAACGUCAAGCUAAAUUUAUGCCAGUUACAAACUGGCGAAAAGUCGUAGCUUAAACACGGACACCAGUUAAACUGUAACACCAGCCAAAAAUAAAAUUCUGCUCACUGAACGUCGGCUUUUGCAUAUUUUAAUUGGUAAAGAAUCCGUAAAUUAAUCCCAAAUAAAAGAAUCCCUAGCUUGAUAUUAUUCCUGAAGGUGAACUGCCGAUCAUCCGAUUUUACAUGCGUCCAACUCACUACAAUGGUUUAAAUGUCGAGUUUAGUAUAAUCGCAAUGCGAAUAGACAAAAAACACUAUACAAUAAUAAGACAUGAUAAACUUAAAAAAGCUUACAACUG